rnacentral:rRNA from 1 species
CCUACGGGUGGCAGCAGUCGAGAAUCAUUCACAAUGGGGGAAACCCUGAUGGUGCGACGCCGCGUGGGGGAAUGAAGGUCUUCGGAUUGUAAACCCCUGUCAUGUGGGAGCAAAUUAAAAAGAUAGUACCACAAGAGGAAGAGACGGCUAACUCUGUGCCAGCAGCCGCGGUAAUACAGAGGUCUCAAGCGUUGUUCGGAAUCACUGGGCGUAAGGCGUGCGUAGGCUGUUUCGUAAGUCGUGUGUGAAAGGCGCGGGCUCAACCCGCGGACGGCACAUGAUACUGCGAGACUAGAGUAAUGGAGGGGGAACCGGAAUUCUCGGUUGAGCAGUGAAAUGCGUAGAUAUCGAGAGGAACAAUCGGGGCGAAGGAGGGUUCCUGGACAUUAACUGACGCUGAGGCACGAAGGCCAGGGGAGCGAAAGGGAUUAGAUACCCUUGUAGUC